rnacentral:rRNA from 1 species
UGGGGAAUAUUGGACAAUGGGCGAAAGCCUGAUCCAGCCAUGCCGCGUGUGUGAAGAAGGUCUUCGGAUUGUAAAGCACUUUAAGUUGGGAGGAAGGGCAUUAACCUAAUACGUUAGUGUUUUGACGUUACCGACAGAAUAAGCACCGGCUAACUCUGUGCCAGCAGCCGCGGUAAUACAGAGGGUGCAAGCGUUAAUCGGAAUUACUGGGCGUAAAGCGCGCGUAGGUGGUUUGUUAAGUUGGAUGUGUAAUCCCCGGGCUCAACCUGGGAACUGCAUUCAAAACUGACUGACUAGAGUAUGGUAGAGGGUGGUGGAAUUUCCUGUGUAGCGGUGAAAUGCGUAGAUAUAGGAAGGAACACCAGUGGCGAAGGCGACCACCUGGACUAAUACUGACACUGAGGUGCGAAAGCGUGGGGAGCAAACA